rnacentral:rRNA from 1 species
GAUGAACGCUGGCGGUAUGCUUAACACAUGCAAGUCGAACGGUCACUUCGGUGAUAGUGGCGGACGGGUGAGUAACGCGUGAGAAUCUGUCUUCAGGUCGGGGACAACAGUUAGAAAUGACUGCUAAUACCGGAUGUGCCUUUGGGUGAAAGAUUUAUUGCCUGAAAAAGAGCUCGCGUCAGAUUAGCUAGUAGGUGGUGUAAGAGACUACCUAGGCUCCGAUCUGUAGCUGGUCUGAGAGGACGAUCAGCCACACUGGAACUGAGACACGGUCCAGACUCCUACGGGAGGCAGCAGUGGGGAAUUUUCCGCAAUGGGCGAAAGCCUGACGGAGCAAUACCACGUGAGGGACGAAGGCUUUUGGGUCGUAAACCUCUUUUCUCAAGGAAGAUGAUGACGGUACUUGAGGAAUAAGCAUCGGCUAACUCUGUG